rnacentral:rRNA from 1 species
UACGUAGGGUGCGAGCGUUAAUCGGAAUUACUGGGCGUAAAGCGUGCGCAGGCGGUUCGCCAAGUCAGGUGUGAAAUCCCCGGGCUUAACCUGGGAAUUGCGCUUGAAACUAGCGGGCUUGAGUGUGGCAGAGGGGGGUGGAAUUCCACGUGUAGCAGUGAAAUGCGUAGAUAUCCGGAGGAACACCGGUGGCGAAGGCGGCUUCCUGGACCGACACUGACGCUGAGGCGCGAAAGCUAGGGGAGCAAACGGG